rnacentral:misc_RNA from 1 species
UACGGAGGGUGCAAGCGUUGCUCGGAAUUACUGGGCGUAAAGCGCACGCAGGCGGCUUGCCAGGUCGGAUGUGAAAGCCCGGGGCUCAACCCCGGAAUUGCAUUCGAAACCGGCAGGCUUGAGUUCGGGAGAGGGAGGUGGAAUUCCUGGUGUAGAGGUGAAAUUCGUUGAUAUCAGGAGGAACAUCGGUGGCGAAGGCGGCCUCCUGGCCCGAUACUGACGCUCAUGUGCGAAAGCGUGGGUAGCAAACAGG